rnacentral:rRNA from 1 species
UACGUACUGCGCGAACGUUAUUCGGAAUCACUGGGCUUAAAGGGUGCGUAGGCGGCUUGUCAAGCCCGUGGUGAAAGGUCCCGGCCUAACCGGGGACGUGCUUCGGGGACUGACGAGCUUGGGCGAGCUAGGGGUCUGUGGAACUCCCGGUGGAGCGGUGAAAUGUGUUGAGAUCGGGAGGAACGCCGGUGGCGAAAGCGACAGACUGGGGCUUGGCCGACGCUCAUGCACGAAAGCCAGGGGAGCGAAC